CUCUUAUCCUGAGAUGGUGGAGGAAACAGGUCCUUUGAAGCCCGGCAACCUGCUAUGAGCAAGCGAGUAUGCUUGACGAAUAGAAAGGUGCUUACCUGUAGCAAGGUCGAAAGCCUUGGACGAUAAGAG
rnacentral:ncRNA from 2 species